UGGGGAAUAUUGCGCAAUGGGCGAAAGCCUGACGCAGCGACGCCGCGUGGAGGAUGAAGGUCUUCGGAUUGUAAACUUCUGUUAAGUGGGAAGAAAUACCCAUCCUUAAUACGGAUGGGGGAUGACUGUACCAUUAGAGAAAGCACCGGCUAAACUCGUGCCAGCAGCCGCGGUAAUACGAGUGGUGCAAGCGUUAUUCGGAAUCAUUGGGCGUAAAGGGUGUGUAGACGGCAUUUCAAGUCAACUGUUUAAUUCUCCGGCCUAACCGGAGGCCAGCGGUAGAAACUAAUAUGCUAGAGGGUGGAAGAGAGAAGUGGAAUUCUCGGAGUAGCGGUAAAAUGCGUAGAUCUCGAGAGGAACACCAAUGGCGAAGGCAGCUUCUUGGUCCACUCCUGACGUUGAAACACGAAAGCGUGGGGAGCAAACAGGAUUAGAUACCCGUGUAGUCC
rnacentral:rRNA from 1 species